AUUGAACGCUGGCGGCAGGCCUAACACAUGCAAGUCGAGCGAGCGGCGGACGGGUGAGUAAUGUAUGGGAAUCUGCCCGAUGGAGGGGGAUAACUACUGGAAACGGUGGCUAAUACCGCAUACUAUCGGAUGAACCCAUAUGGGAUUAGCUAGUUGGUGGGGUAAAGGCUCACCUAGCCGACGAUCUCUAGCUGGUCUGAGAGGAUGAUCAGCCACACUGGGACUGAGACACGGCCCAGACUCCUACGGGAGGCAGCAGUGGGGAAUAUUGCGCAAUGGGGGCAAGCCUGAUGCAGCCAUGCCGCGUGAAUGAAGAAGGCCUUAGGGUUGUAAAGUACUUUCAGCGGGGAGGCGUUACCUGCAGAAGAAGCACCGGCUAACUCCGUGCCAGCAGCCGCGGUAAUAC
rnacentral:rRNA from 1 species